ACAUCUACCAGUAUAAAAACUGUAGCCUAUCAUGCUCAAAGCGCGCCCAUCGGUCAUAACUCAAGCAUUUCUUUACCGAAAUGGAAAAAAUGUCUGGAAAUUGAAAUAGCAGCAUCUGUUGCCGCUGCCUCAAUAACUCUUAUUUGCAGAAUGCUCCGCCCAAGCUCUCCAGUUCGCGGACCUUGCUCGAGAGUAUGAUCUGCCAUUUUUCAUAAGCAAUGCCGGAGAUCUGAGCUUGACAUUUGACAAACAAGACCCGAUACUCCACCAGUGCCGCCGCAGCAUCCUUUUCGGGAACGGAUGUCGGCGAUGCGCUGGCUGCACUGCUCAAGCGUUAUUCCUGGCGGACAGUCACGUUGAUCUGCGACACGUUGUCUCGCCACGUGGGCCUUUCCAAUUCCUUCGUCAUACGAUGCGGGGAAACCAGAAAAGUGUUGGCGAGA